NAGACCUCUAAUCGGAAAAGA
rnacentral:rRNA from 1 species